UACGUAGGGGGCAAGCGUUGUCCGGAAUCAUUGGGCGUAAAGAGCGUGUAGGCGGCUUGGUAAGUCCGCUGUGAAAGUCCAGGGCUCAACCCCUGGAAUGCCGGUGGAAACUGUCAAGCUUGAGUCCGGAAGAGGCGAGUGGAAUUCCUGGUGUAGCGGUGAAAUGCGCAGAUAUCAGGAGGAACACCAAUGGCGAAGGCAGCUCGCUGGGACGGUACUGACGCUGGAGGAGCGAAAGCAUGGGGAGCGAACAGG
rnacentral:rRNA from 1 species